UUUCACCCAAUGCCUUUGAGGACAGACUUCAAUCAAAAUCCGCGUGCCAUUGUUGCUCAUCCUUUGAUCAAACUCCCCUUGCCGGACAGGCAGACCCAAUCACCUGCUUGUAAUUAGUCUUUUGUUGUUGUUUACAGCCUGAAGCAGUGAUGGAGCACCUGGUGAGGGAUGUGGCCAGCCCUGCCAGCACAGGUGGAAGCAAUUUGCCUGUGGGACCGGAUAGGGCUGAGCUUGGCUCCACCCCCUCCCUGCCCAUAUUUAAGGGCUGGGAACAGCAAGGGCAGCAUUCAGCUUGGGAUCUGCCUCCAUGGGAGCAUUGGGAGCCAGUUCUGCUCGUUGGAAUGGGGUGAGUGACUGAUGCUUUGUUGCAGGGCUCUGGUCUUUCUGUUUUUGGGGAUCCUGACUGCUUUUAAGGGCUGGAAGCUGUAAGGGCAGCAUCUCUGUAUGGAGGCUGCUUCCUUUGGGGUGUGGGCUGAGUGUUUGUUUUUGGGAUGGGGUCAUUGGUUUCUUCUGUAUUGCUGGAUUGUAAUUUCACUUUCUGGGGGCUCCUGACCACAUUUAAGGUCUGUCAGCAGAAGGAGCAGCAACUGCACCUGGAGGCUGCUUCCUUUAGAGCAUGGGGUGAACCCUUGAAACGGGGUGAGUGAGUCUUUAUUCCAGGGUUGCAACAUCUUGUUUUUUGGGGGAUCCUGACCCCGCUUAAGGGCUGGCAGCCUUUAAGGUGGUAUCUGUCUUUAGAGACUGUCUCCUUGGGAGUGUGGGGUGAGGGCCGGUCCUUGAGAAAGAAUGAGUGAUUUCUUCUUGUUUUAGGGCUGUGAUCUUUCCUGUUUUGGGGGCAUCCUGACCGCAUUUAAGUGCUGACAGAUGUAAGGGUAACGUUGAUCUCUGGAGGCUGUCUCCUGUGGAGCAUGGCUCUGGUUCCCAACAGCGUGAUGAAGUGAAGCCCCUGCUCUGCUGAAUACUGGGACUGGCCCAGAGAGGCUCUGAUGGAUGUGGAUUAUCCCAGCUGGAGUACUUGGUACCAUUGGUGGUGAUCUCAUCCAACUGCCACACAACAAACAGGAACAUCCACAGCCAGAUCAGUGCCCAGAGCCUGACCCAGCGUCACCUUGGAAGGGACAGGGCAUCCAUCAUGUCUGGGUGUUGAAAGGCUGUUACCAGAUCACCUCGGAGCCUUCACUUCUGCAGGCUGAGCAGCUCCAGCUCUCUGUCUUUAUAGGAAAGGCGUUCCAUCCCUCGGUUCAUGUUUGUGGCCGUUCUAUGGAUGUGCUCCAACAGCUCCACAUCUGUCCUGCACUGUAGGCAUCCACAUCCAGACGCAGCACCUCCAGGUGAGGCCUCCCAGCGCAGAGCAGAGGGGCAGGACCGCCUCCCUUCGCCUGCUGACCGCACAUCUUUGGAUGGAACCCAGCAUACGGUUGGCUUUCUGGGCUGGAAGGCGCGUUGCUGAGUGCCACUACUCAGCCUGUUGAGGUCCCUCUGGAUGGCAUCCCGUCCCUCUGGUGUGUCACCGCACCCCACAGCUCGGUGUCAUUAGGGUGCACUCCACCCUACUGUCAAUGUCGCUGAUGAAGGGGCAAUUCCAGAUGUUUGUGCAAACUCAGCAAAGAACACCUUGAGAGCAGCCCCACAGAGAAGGAUUUGCAGAUCCUGGUGGGUGAGAAGCUGGACGUCAGCCAGCAGAGCGGGCUUGCAGCCUGGAAGGCCAGCUGUGUUCUGGGCUGCAUUAAAAGAGGAGCGGCCAGCAGGGAGAGGGAGGCGAUCGUCCC